rnacentral:rRNA from 1 species
UGAGCAAUCUGCCCUUCUCAUCGGAAUAAGCGUUGGAAACGACGUUUAAUGCCGAAUACGACCUCCUUUCACAUGAUCGGAGGUGGAAAGCUCCGGCGGAGAAGGAUGAGCUCGCGGCCUAUCAGCUAGUUGGUGUGGGUAACGGCCCACCAAGGCGACGACGGGUAGCCGGCCUGAGAGGGUGACCGGCCACACUGGGACUGAGACACGGCCCAGACUCCUACGGGAGCAGCAGG